rnacentral:rRNA from 1 species
UUGACCUCGGAUCAAGUAGGGAUACCCGCUGAACUUAAGCAUAUCAAUA